GUGGGGAAUAUUGGACAAUGGGCGCAAGCCUGAUCCAGCAAUGCCGCGUGGGUGAAGAAGGUCUUCGGAUCGUAAAGCCCUUUCGACAGGGACGAUGAUGACGGUACCUGUAGAAGAAGCUCCGGCUAACUUCGUGCCAGCAGCCGCGGUAAUACGAAGGGGGCUAGCGUUACUCGGAAUUACUGGGCGUAAAGGGCGCGUAGGCGGCUCUGUUAGUCAGUCGUGAAAUUCCUGGGCUUAACCUGGGGACUGCGCUUGAUACUGCAGGGCUUGAGGCCGAGAGAGGGUGGUGGAAUUCCCGGUGAAGAGGUGAAAUUCGUAGAUAUUGGGAAGAACACCGGUGGCAAAGGCGACCACCUGGCUCGGUUCUGACGCUGAGGCGCGACAGCGUGGGGAGCAAACAGGAGUAGAUACCCUUGUAGUCC
rnacentral:rRNA from 1 species